rnacentral:rRNA from 1 species
CGACACGGGGAGGUAGUGACGAAAAAUAACAAUACAGGACUCUAACGAGGCUCUGUAAUUGGAAUGAGUACAUUCUAAAACUCUUAACGAGUAUCCAUUGGAGGGCAAGUCUGGUGCCAGCAGCCGCGGUAAUUCCAGCUCCAACAGUGUAUGCUAAAGUUGUUGCGGUUGAAAAGCUCGUAGUUGGAUCUUGGGUGGGUGUCGUCGGUCCGUCGCAAGGCGUGUUACUGGCGGCGCCUGCCUCGUAUUCGGUUCUUCGUCGGUGCUCUUGACUGAGUGUCGGCGGUGGCCGGAAAGUUUACUUUGAAAAAAUUAGAGUGUUCAAAGCAGGCUGCUCGCCUGCAUAGUGUUGCAUGGAAUAAUGGAAUAGGACCUCGGUUCUAUUUUGUUGGUUUUCGGAGCGCGAGGUAAUGAUUAAGAGGGACAGACGGGGGCGUCCGUACUCUGCCGUUAGAGGUGAAAUUCUUGGAUCGGCGGAAGACGAACUACUGCGAAAGCAUUCGCCAAGAAUGUUUUCUUUAAUCAAGAGCGAAAGUCAGAGGUUCGAAGACGAUCAGAUACCGUCCUAGUUCUGACUAUAAACGAUGCCAACUAGCGAUCGGGAGGCGUUACCAUGACGACCUUCCCGGCAGCUUCCGGGAAACCAAAGUCUUUGGGUUCUGGGGGAAGUAUGGUUGCAAAGCUGAAACUUAAAGGAAUUGACGGAAGGGCACCACCAGGAGUGGAGCCUGCGGCUUAAUUUGACUCAACACGGGGAAACUCACCCGGCCCGGACACAGGAAGGAU